GGGCUAUGUUGCAGUUUUUGCUAAAAUUGUGCAUGAAACCUUGGCUUGUUGAAUUACAACUGCAAAUCAAAAUCGAUUUUUUUAUAUCAUUAAAACAGAAAUUUAUCUAUCAACAACAUAUAGUUUUUUAAGAAAAAUCUAUGGAGUAGAAUUAGAGAUUUGACGAUUUGAAGACAAAUUUUAGAAGGUUUCAGGCCGAUUUUAUGUGCUUUCUAUACAAAU
rnacentral:lncRNA from 1 species